GCCAUCACGCGUGUGUGUGACUCAGGCGGGACCAGAGUGGUUAGAGCCCCAGGAUCCUGCUGCCCGAGACUCACCCGCCCCAGACAGUCUGGCCGAACACCUGUCUGCUGCCCACACCUGGCUCCUGUCAGGCGGGUGAGGGCUCCCCGCCCCUGCCCUCAGUCUCCCGGGAAGGUGACCCCACCCGAGCAGCCAUAAAGCCCACCGAUGCCUCAUUACUUCCCUUAACGGCCAAAAGAUUCCGACUUCCGGCACGCGACGCUCGUGGAAGCCCUCGCUGGGGUCCUCGUGGCGAGAGAAGGGCCGGACGCACUGAAAACCAGCAGAUCCCAGAUCCGCCAGAGAGGAGAGGUCACGGGGCGAACCGCUGCCCCGAAACGGAGAGCGAGGCCGGCAGACGCACACUCUCGUGGCUGGAGCAGAACCUGCCAGCGGGAACCUCCCCGGCGCUGGUGCAGGCGGACGAACGGGGCUCCUCCCGGCCGGCUGGGGCUAGAGCUGGGGCACCCACGCCGGAAACGCUCUGUCCAUUUCCCAUAAAUGGCUAAAAUAGGGAAGACUGUUUACCUGCCUGCCGGAAGGAACACACGAUAACUACUCGGUUGUUGACAAGUCGCUUUAGCAUCCCUUACAUCGUCGCUACACGAGCACCACGUGACUUAACGGAGUUUAGGUGUGUGAGCGCCACGUGUUAAAGGAUCGUGGGUACGCGCACGCCACGUGACUUAACGGCGGAUUUGGGGCUCCAGAUGGGCCACGUUUCCCAGGAUGACGGCCAAGUACAUUCAGUGACUCGUGUGGUCACUACAGUUUGAGGACAACAUGUGCGAGAAGACCUUCCCUGGCCCCUGCCCAGGACUUCUUAAUCCGGGCCUGCCCAGCUGCCAGCUUGUUUCGUUUCCUGAAUUUCCUGGGAGCAUCUUUCACAAAUUCUCUCGUUGUUUGUUUACCUGGGAAGGUCUUUCUUUUCCCUCACUUUUGAAGAGCCACAAGAGCAUCUUCCUCAGACCUUCGUGAGGAGAUCUCAGGGCUCCUGGAAAUAAAGCCCCUCCUCCCCCGGCUCCCAGAAGCCCAGCGAGGCACCGCCCACCAGUUCCUGCCAGUUUACGGCUCCAGCAGCUUCUCCAGGCAGACCCACCCUGCCCGCCCUGGCUUCCCAGACCUGCUGUCCCUCAAGAUUUCAGAGCGCUGGCUCGCCCUGCACGCUGGGCUCUCG